rnacentral:rRNA from 1 species
UACGUAGGCAGCAAGCGUUGUUCGGAGUUACUGGGCGUAAAGGGGGUGUAGGCGGUUGCUUAAGUUUGGUGGGAAAUCUCCCGGCUCAACUGGGAGGGUGCGCCGAAUACUGAGUGACUAGAGUGCGGGAGAGGAGAGUGGAAUUCCUGGUGUAGCGGUGAAAUGCGUAGAUAUCGGGAGGAACACCGAUGGCGAAGGCAGCUCUCUGGCCUAUAACUGACGCUGAGGUGCGAAAGCGUGGGGAGCAAACGGG